GUCAUAACGAUGAAAAAGGAUUAGUACAUGUCUCACCUUUUUGCAGAGAGAGAAUCCAUUUGGCUGAGAGAUUCUUAAAAAGACGAUAUGGAACCUACCUUUGCGUUCUGCAUAUGCAGCGGGAAGUUCCCGUUAUCAAAAAGAGAGCAUGUACAAUUUAUUUGUAUAUGAAUCAGGGUGGUAACGCCGGCAAAAGCUCGGUCCCUAUU
rnacentral:ncRNA from 1 species